UUCCGCGUUCUCUGAUGAUGCUGGAUAUAUUAUGAUGGUUAUGGUUAUGAUCGUUGUCGUCCAUCGGCGAGACCUCACAAACAAGUGAGUGAUGGAAAUCCUUUCUCACAAAGAUAUGUUGUUGAAAACUGCAUGACGAUGGAAAACACCAUCUUCUGUUGUUAAUGAGGCAUGUUUACAACUCCAUUACCUAGCAGUGGAUGUCCUUCUAUUGUUGAGCCUGUUUGUUGUGGGAAAUGUGUUUACCGAGCCGUUGUCUGACAGCAGAACAACUCAGGAUCUGUUACAUGGACAGCAGCCAGUGAUAUCUGUAAAGUGGCACUGCUCAUGGGAAAACUUCAUUCAUGAAUCUACGAAUCAUAAUAUGACUUAAAUAAAUAAAGCAAAAUCUCAUUUGA